rnacentral:rRNA from 1 species
AGUCCGCACGAGCGCACCCCUAUCCUUAGUUGCUAGCAGGUAAUGCUGAGAACUCUAAGGAGACUGCCGGUGAUAAACCGGAGGAAGGUGGGGGCGACGUCAAGUCAUCAUGGCCCUUACGUGUAGGGCUACACACGUGCUACAAUGGCGCAUACAGAGUGCUGCGAACUCGCGAGAGUAAGCGAAUCACUUAAAGUGCGUCGUAGUCCGGAUUGGAGUCUGCAACUCGACUCCAUGAAGUCGGAAUCGCUAGUAAUCGCAUAUCAGAAUGAUGCGGUGAAUACGUUCCCGGGCCUUGUACACACCGCCCGUCACACCAUGGGAGUGGGUUGCUCCAGAAGUGGAUAGUCUAACCUUCGGGAGGACGUUCACCACGGAGUGAUUCAUGACUGGGGUGAAGUCGUAACAAGGUAGCCCUAGGGGAACCUGGGGCUGGAUCACCUCCCU